CAGAAAAUAAUAUAAUAAGUAUAAUAAUUUUGGAGAUUAUAAGUGAUAAAUUCUUUUCUGA
rnacentral:tRNA from 1 species